rnacentral:rRNA from 1 species
GGCCUUGACAUACUAAGAACUUUCCAGAGAUGGAUUGGUGCCUUCGGGAACUUAGAUACAGGUGCUGCAUGGCUGUCGUCAGCUCGUGUCGUGAGAUGUUGGGUUAAGUCCCGNAACGAGCGCAACCCUUUUCCUAUUUGCCAGCGGGUCAUGUCGGGAACUUUAAGGAUACUGCCAGUGACAAACUGGAGGAAGGCGGGGACGACGUCAAGUCAUCAUGGCCCUUACGGCCAGGGCUACACACGUGCUACAAUGGUCGGUACAAAGGGUUGCUACCUCGCGAGAGGAUGCUAAUCUCAAAAAGCCGAUCGUAGUCCGGAUCGCAGUCUGCAACUCGACUGCGUGAAGUCGGAAUCGCUAGUAAUCGCGGAUCAGAAUGCCGCGGUGAAUACGUUCCCGGGCCUUGUACACACCGCCCGUCACACCAUGGGAGUUUGUUGCACCAGAAGUAGGUAGUCUAACCGCAAGGAGGACGCUUACCACGGUGUGGCCGAUGACUGGGGUGAAGUCGUAACAAGGUAGGCGUAGAUGA